UGAGAAAUAGUUUAAGGAAAAAUAAGGGAUUUUGAUACCCUUGAUGAGAGGUCAUUUCUCUCUUUCUCAG
rnacentral:tRNA from 1 species